GGAUAGCUCAGCGGGCAGAGCAUGAGCCUCAUCAUCUCAGGGUUGUGGGUUUGAGUCACAUGCUGGGCA
rnacentral:tRNA from 1 species